rnacentral:rRNA from 1 species
GUCUACAUGCCACCUUGAACGUGCCUGAUCUUGUCUGAUCUCGGAAGCUAAGCAUAGGGUCGGGCCUGGUUAGUACUUGGAUGGGAGACCACCUAGGAGUACCAGGUGCUGUAGGUG